CGAGUUCUCGCGUGCUUAUUGGUCAAACGAUGCCAACCUAUAUGUGGACAUUUUAGAUUUAAACGGUAUUUAUUUUGCGUCGAUAACGUAGAGCGUGCCGCAUUGAAACAAGGAAAGAAUAUACAGGUCAUCUAUGCGCCAGAAUUUCUCGAUUACACAGGUAAUUGCGACAUUGCGUGUGAGAUGCACCUUGAUCGAGCGUCACGUGGUGGUCGACUGGCAUAAAUCCUUUUUCGACGUUGGGGGUAACUGGGGCGGUCGUUACCGCGGCUCAAAAAUUUUCGAAUACAGGAAUUUGCAUCGAGAGUGACGGCGACGUUCAAUAGGGGGCGCACGUUUUCGUAAACAAAUUCAUCAAAUUGAAAUCGAGGAAACGGACAGCGGCGUGGAAUUACAAAUCCGUUUGGAGACGCGGAAAUGUGUUGGGAUUUAUAACUCACUUGUUUGAAAUUGUGAUUGAAACACUUUGAUUCCAUAUUAGUAGCAUCAAAGUUGGUAAAUAUUGGAAAUAUUGAUUUUUAGAUGAAACGUAAUAAUGUGAAAAGUUAAUGGUAUUAUAAAAAAAUUUAAAUAAAAUAUUAUAAUAAAAAG